rnacentral:rRNA from 1 species
AACGAACGCUGGCGGCAGGCUUAAUACAUGCAAGUCGAACGGGCGCAGCAAUGCGUCAGUGGCAGACGGGUGAGUAACACGUGGGAACCUUCCUCGUUGUACGGAACAACUCAGGGAAACUUGAGCUAAUACCGUAUAAGUCCGAGAGGAGAAAGAUUUAUCGCAAUGAGACGGGCCCGCGUCGGAUUAGGUAGUUGGUGAGGUAACGGCUCACCAAGCCAACGAUCCGUAGCUGAUCUGAGAGGAUGAUCAGCCACACUGGGACUGAGACACGGCCCAGACUCCUACGGGAGGCAGCAGUAGGGAAUCUUGGACAAUGGGCGCAAGCCUGAUCCAGCCAUGCCGCGUGAGUG